CUUGUCCGGUGAUGUUUACAAAAAAGAUUACCCAUGUUGAUGAUGAGGCGUUUACAAAUAAAAUUGUUAGCAGAGACGAUGGAAAAAGCUACUGCAAAAGCUGCUGUCACCACAGAUAUAAUUGAUAAUCCAUCAUGUUAAUCCUCGAUGGCUUCAUCCUCAUCCACUUCGAUCUUAAUCAGUUGUAAGACACUUCAUCGAGAACAGUAUAACUGUAACAGCAAUUCCAACGAUGGAUCAUCGUCCGAUUGUUCGCUUUUUUUCCAAACCUACAAGCUCUGAAAUAUUCUCCGAAAGAGUGUAUAGUCCUGAACAAAAGCACCAUUGAUGUACCCUGCAUGCAUUGAUUCAAUCCUCAACAUCCCUGUAGGAAAGUGAUGUGGUACAAAUAAAAAUAAAUAAACAUUCACCGGAUUGUGUACUUAAUUCAUAAGCAUAAAGAAAAAGAAGAAAAAUAUACCCCUUGUAUUUCGAUGGGCGGGUGAAACGAAAGAGUAUCGUCGGGAGGGAAACAUAAUGAACGCCGCUAUAUAAACGGCCGCGCAAUUUCGAGCGAGCUGAUUCUUAACUUGGAUGCAGAAGAGCACACAGUGGAAAGCAGCUAAACCAACUUUUCGGACAUUAGUGGAUCGGGCACAGCAGCAGCAACAGAGGAACCGACCAUUUGGACAGUAGCGGAGCACACAUCGGACAACAGCAGCGGAGUGCGCAUCGGGCAGCAGCAGCAGAGUUUAAUCGUAUAGUAGCGGAGCGUACUUUUGGGACAGCAUCAGCGGAGCACACAUCGAGCAGCAGCAGCAGCGGGGUACUUUUCAAUCGGCGGAAGGAAAAUCGUAACCAGACAGCAAAAAUGAUGUCCGGAUACGACAAUCCCCUUCUUCUGUUACCACAAGAUGAUCACUCACCUUCGGAACAACAGAACAUCUAUCCGACCCACAAGAUACGAAAAUCGACCUUGUACUCGUUUAACUAUUCUUCCGGCAAUGCUCACCGUCAGAAUGGAGUAGGUGAAUGUUAUGCGGAUGAAAUCACACCAACGAGCUUAUCGAGCUUAUUUCACUCUAAGCAUAGACCAUCGCAAAUGUAACCAAAUUGAAUAUCCAAGCAAACUCAACGAUGUUAACGGUCGAUACCAUCAAAGCUAGGUGUUGCUGCUGUCGAUGUAGACAAUUCCAACAAAGAAAUCUGCUUUCGCCGGAAUUUCACUGAUGAUGAUACAAUCUGAUACUGUGAACGCCAGCAGCAAAGAUCUGCUAGUUCAUGAUUUUGUGCAAGAGUAUAGUGUAUGUAUGUAAAUUGAAUGUACAGAAAAUAAAUAUUUG